ensembl:snoRNA SNORD39 Small nucleolar RNA SNORD55/SNORD39
CGUGUGUGAUGACACCUGCAUAUGCUGCAAACUCCUGACUCCAGUGGGGAGGCCAACCUUGUAGAGCUGAAUGUGCG